AGAGCACUCCUACGGGAGGCAGCAGUGGGAAUCUUGGACAAUGGGGGAAACCCUGAUCCAGCCAUGCCGCGUGUGUGAAGAAGGCCUUAUGGUUGUAAAGCACUUUCAGUAGGGAGGAAGGUAGUGUAGUUAACACCUGCAUUAUUUGACGUUACCUACAGAAGAAGCACCGGCUAACUCCGUGCCAGCAGCCGCGGUAAUACGGAGGGUGCGAGCGUUAAUCGGAAUUACUGGGCGUAAAGCGCGCGUAGGCGGCUAGGUCAGUCAGAUGUGAAAGCCCGGGGCUCAACCUCGGAAUUGCAUUUGAAACUGGCAAACUAGAGUACUGUAGAGGGGGUAGAAUUUCAGGUGUAGCGGUGAAAUGCGUAGAGAUCUGAAGGAAUACCGGUGGCGAAGGCGGCCCCCUGGACAGAUACUGACACUCAGAUGCGAAAGCGUGGGGAGCAAACAGGAUUAGAUACCCUGGUAG
rnacentral:rRNA from 1 species